rnacentral:rRNA from 1 species
AUUGAACGCUGGCGGCAGGCUUAACACAUGCAAGUCGAGCGGGGGAAGGUAGCUUGCUACCGGACCUAGCGGCGGACGGGUGAGUAAUGCUUAGGAAUCUGCCUAUUAGUGGGGGACAACAUCUCGAAAGGGAUGCUAAUACCGCAUACGUCCUACGGGAGAAAGCAGGGGAUCUUCGGACCUUGCGCUAAUAGAUGAGCCUAAGUCGGAUUAGCUAGUUGGUGGGGUAAAGGCCUACCAAGGCGACGAUCUGUAGCGGGUCUGAGAGGAUGAUCCGCCACACUGGGACUGAGACACGGCCCAGACUCCUACGGGAGGCAGCAGUGGGGAAUAUUGGACAAUGGGGGGAACCCUGAUCCAGCCAUGCCGAGUGUGUGAAGAAGGCCUUAUGGUUGUAAAGCACUUUAAGCGAGGAGGAGGCUACUCUAGUUAAUACCUAGGGAUAGUGGACGUUACUCGCAGAAUAAGCACCGGCUAACUCUGUGCCAGCAGCCGCGGUAA